GCCGGAGCUUCCUGGUGCGCUCUUCCACCCGCGCCUGUCUCUGGUGCUUCCUCCCCGCAGGGCUGUCAGCGCCGGCUGCAGCCGCCCCUGCGAGGCUGGAGCGGAACCGGGAAUCUCAGGGAGGGAACUUGGCGAGGGAGCUACGCCGACCGCCGCCACCCUGGCGCUGAGGGUCGGUGCUGCACCACCAAUCUGAUGGAACAGCCUUUUGGAGCAUGACAAGAAGAUCCAUGGUUACCUCCCUGGAGACUCCUGCUGCUUCAUUACCUCAUUUCCCAUGCCUACGAAGGCAGAAAAGUCAGCUAUCCAGGGAAUGAGACAAAGACUGCAGCCUGGGAAUCAGGCAGGAAAGCAAGCAGCAGCAGAAAUAUUGUGGAAUUCUCUUCAUAGAACCUUCUUUGGGCCACAUAUUAGGCCUAAAAUAUACCCUACUGAGUCUCACCAAAAGCAUCCUGUUCUAGGGAGACCACUGCCACCAACUCUGG
rnacentral:lncRNA from 1 species